UACGAGGGGUGCAAGCGUUGCUCGGAAUUAUUGGGCGUAAAGGGUAGGUAGGUGGUCUUAUUUGUCAGGGGUGAAAGCCUUGGGCUUAACCCAAGAAGUGCCCCUGAAACGGUAAGACUAGAAUCUUGGAGAGGCGAGCGGAAUUCCCGGUGUAGCGGUGAAAUGCGUAGAGAUCGGGAGGAACACCAGAGGCGAAGGCGGUCCCCUGGGCCGGAACUGACGCUGAGGCGCGAAAGCGUGGGUAGCAAACGGG
rnacentral:rRNA from 1 species